rnacentral:rRNA from 1 species
GACGAACGCUGGCGGCGUGCUUAACACAUGCAAGUCGAACGGAAAGGCCCUGCUUUUGUGGGGUGCUCGAGUGGCGAACGGGUGAGUAACACGUGAGUAACCUGCCCUUGACUUUGGGGUAACUUCAGGAAACUGGGGCUAAUACCGGAUAGGAGCUCCUGCUGCAUGGGGGGGGUUGGAAAGUUUCGGCGGUUGGGGAUGGACUCGCGGCUUAUCAGCUUGUUGGUGGGGUAGUGGCUUACCAAGGCUUUGACGGGUAGCCGGCCUGAGAGGGUGACCGGCGACAUUGGGACUGAGGUACGGCGCAGACUCCUACGGGAGGCAGCAGUGGGGAAUAUUGCACAGUGGGCGGAAGCCUGAUGCGGCAACGCCGCGUGCGGGAUGACGGCCUUCGGGUCGUAAACCGCUUUCGCCUGUGACGAAGCGUGAGUGACGGUAAUGGGUAAAGAAGCACCGGCUAACUACGUG